UACGUAGGUGGCAAGCGUUGUCCGGAUUUAUUGGGUUUAAAGGGUGCGUAGGCGGCUUUGUAAGUCAGUGGUGAAAUAUCGCAGCUUAACUGUGAGGGUGCCAUUGAUACUGCAGAGCUUGAGUACAGAUGAGGUAGGCGGAAUUGACGGUGUAGCGGUGAAAUGCUUAGAUAUCGUCAAGAACACCUAUAGCGAAGGCAGCUUACUAGGCUGUAACUGACGCUGAGGCACGAAAGUGUGGGGAUCAAACAGG
rnacentral:rRNA from 1 species